CAAACAUUACAGUCAUUAAGAAUACACAGGCCAUUGAAAUCAAGUCCUACAUCUUGAGGUUUACUUUUAAGUUUUUUAUUGUAUUCUGUUAUUGCCGCUCACUUAAGUGUAUGGUUCUGUUUUCGAGCUUGGUGUAUUCUUUUCUAAAUGCUGUGUCUGUAACCAAAUAGACAGAAACUGUUGUUUCAAGUAUUUUUAUGCGUUUUCUUAAGUUGCAGUGUGUUGACCUCUCUGGGCCACCGUAGUCUUCGACCCAUAAGAGCGUUUCCGGAAUUAGCGCCUCUGCCGGCCACAUGAAAUAUGAAGAAUUACGAGUUAUUUUUCGCCUCUGUGGUUUUGGUAUUAUCAAUGGACUAACGUUAUAUCUAUUACGACAUUCAUUUAAGUACAUGUGAAAUAUAACAAAGAUGGCCACUCAAAAAGAAUGCCAAGAUUGUAAGAAAAAAAUCGGGGUAGCCAGCAAGACAUGUAAGCACUGUGGUGCCAGGCAGCCUUACAAGCAAAAACUGGAGAGAAUAAAGAAAAAACUCUCUGCUGGCUGGAAAGAGAGGCAGAAAAAAAACAGCAGCGUCAACAAAGUAUAUGAUGCAACAGCUCUGCUGCUCCACAAAUGGGAACUUCUGGAGCGUCACCCGAUCCUGCUCCUUGCCAGGAGAACUGCACAUGGCUUUUCAGCUGAAUGCUUCUGUCCAUGGCAAAUUAAUGCAAAAGAUGCUAAAGAUGCCCUUGUCACAAUAAAGAGGAUUUAUGAAAGUCUUCUUAACAGUAACGUACACAAAUGUGCAUGCAUGCUGUGCUUCCACCUAAGAGUUCCUUACGUGACUGCUGAAUGACAGCUUAUUAGAGAAUCCUGGGUUGACAUGAGAGGAAUUUUUAAAAAGAGGGAAAAAGGACAAGUUAGCUUCACUAACAGCACAAAGUUAAAGUUAAAAGAAUUUGACAUCACACUACAUAUAAAUUUGUUCAUGGAAUUUCAGCCUCCUUCCCGCAAUGAAUGGGAAUGAACUGCAAACUGUUGGUAGUUUUUGGCCCUUUUAGAACAAUGUCCACUCUUUCUUAUGUCAAAUGUCCAUGUCACAUUUUUUUCUUUCCAAAAGUGACGAUGGGAGCCGAAGCAGCAGUCAAAACUGGGGAGAUUCCAGCCCCAGACAAUGAGGAGUCUUCACAGACUCCACCACCAGACCACCUUGCAUCUUACCCAGCGUCGGAUUCCACGUCCCACUCUCUGACCUGUCCUGUGUCCCCCUCUCCUCCUCAUCCUGCUUCCUCAUCCUACUGGACUUCUCCUUUGUCCCCCUGUCUAACCCCCCGUGUCAUCAUCUGUGACUCCUCCUGUAUCCUCCUGUCAUAUGCCUCCUGUGUCAUCAUCGCUGACCCUUUCUGUUUCUUCCAAAUUCUGCUCUCCUGUGUCCACUCAGCUAGACACUCCUGACUCAGUAUCGUCCUCACAGAAAAAAGGACCUGAAAGCCAGAAAGCAGACACCAGUGAAUGUCCAGUUCAUCAAGGGUCCACAAGUUUCCCCUACAAAAAAAUACUGGGCAAAAGAAUCAGGGAGGGCCGUGCUGAGGUGUUGGUACAGUGGCACCCUUGCUCUGGAUGGUGUGUAUGUUCUUAUACCGCAGCUGAUAGGGCAGGUUGUCAAACUAACAACAAAGGGAAAAAAGCAGAGCAGUGACAGUGAAAUCUAAUUGUCAGGCAUUAAAUGAAAUUAGCACCGCUUUUUACGGUUAAAAAUGUUUACGAUCAACCAGUGACAUCUAUAAACAUCUUAAAAAAAAAUUUCAAUUCUAAAAUUGAGUUUCUCCUUCUGUGAAGACUAGCAGGCAGUUAUAAAACAUUUGUCCUGUACGCAGACGCUUUUACCUGACAUAAACAGAAUUUUAAAUUGACUGAUUACACACAAGCAUUCUAAGGAUACCUCUGCUAAGUCACCCUAGAUUGCUUGCAUGCCUGAAGACUCCAUGUCUCACUGCACAUAGAGCAUGUGCAUGGUGUCUGUUCCCAACCAGUUAAGAACAAUGUGACAAUAAAUAAUUGUUGCCAUCUUUCUUUGUCUCUUACAGUGGGGAAAACUGGCAAAACACAUGGGAGCCAAAAGAAAAUAUACAAAGUUAAUAUCAUCUCCCAAAUAUAAAUGUUUUGAUUGUUGCUGUGUUAUAUGAAAUUUGCAGAGACUUUCAGAAUCAGGAUUGUUGAAAUGCAGUUUUUUUCCCACUUGUUAUCAACUCGGUUUUACUCAUCUCUGCAACGGCCUUAAAGAGUACAUAGGUCCCCUUUUCCUGCAUGUUAGGAGAAGGGAUAGAUAAAAUAAACAUUUGAAAUAACAUUUGUCGCGGGCUGUGUACACUUGAUUGUUAACAGUAGGUUUGUCAAUUAAGAGGCCAAAAUAAGUUGAAUUUCUCUAACAACUUUAACUUGGGAUCACUGCUGUCAAGUUAGGAUCUUAUUCCAUAGGAUGUAUUUCUGCACAUUCAUCUUGAAACCACAUUGCUCAUAGUAAAAAAAUGGUCAACACUCUGAAGUUCCCCCCAGCUACACUCUCAGUGUAGGGUUAGCAGGAGGGACUGGGGCCCUUCACAAAAUAAGUGGCAUUACGAGGAUGGAAGAUCAUGUGGAUAUAUUGAAGCAACAUCUCAGGACAUCAUCCAGGAAGUUAAAACUUGGGUCUUCCAAAUGGACAAUGACCCCAAGUAGACUUUCAGAGUUGUGACAAAAUGGCUUAAGAGCACAGUCAAGGUGUUGGAGAGGCCAUCAAAAACCUGACCUCAAUCCAAGAAAACAUUUGAGGGUAGACCUGAAAAAAUGUGUGUGAGCAAGGAGGCCUACAAACCUGACUCAGUUCCACCAGUUCUGUCAGGAGGAAGACGUCCUGAA